rnacentral:lncRNA from 1 species
ACACGACUCGACGGAUUCGCGCGCGCACUCCGACGCGCGCGAGGCCCGGGUCCCGCGAGAUGCGCCCAGAGACGUCGACGACGCGCGAUAGAUGGACCGUCGCCCUCGAAGACGCCCGCGCGUCGGCGAACGAGUGCGAAGACGCGCUGCGACGACGCGAGGCUGAUGCCGAAGGCGACGACGAUGGAGCGUGGUCGAAGCGCACGCUCGAGGCGCGAAGAAGCGUGAGCGGGUUGAAAACAAAACUACGCGCGUUAGAAG